GAUGAACGCUGGCGGCGUGCCUAAUACAUGCAAGUCGAGCGAACAGACGAGGAGCUUGCUCCUUCGACGUUAGCGGCGGACGGGUGAGUAACACGUAGGUAACCUACCUAUAAGACUGGGAUAACUUCGGGAAACCGGAGCUAAUACCGGAUAAUAUUUUGAACCGCAUGGUUCGAUAGUGAAAGAUGGCAUUGCUAUCACUUAUAGAUGGACCUGCGCCGUAUUAGCUAGUUGGUAAGGUAACGGCUUACCAAGGCAACGAUGCGUAGCCGACCUGAGAGGGUGAUCGGCCACACUGGAACUGAGACACGGUCCAGACUCCUACGGGAGGCAGCAGUAGGGAAUCUUCCGCAAUGGGCGAAAGCCUGACGGAGCAACGCCGCGUGAGUGAUGAAGGUCUUCGGAUCGUAAAACUCUGUUAUUAGGGAAGAACAAACGUGUAAGUAACUGUGCACGUCUUGACGGUACCUAAUCAGAAAGCCACGGCUAACUACGUG
rnacentral:rRNA from 1 species